GCAGGACUUCGGUUCUGUGAGAGUGGCGAACGGGUGAGUAACACGUGGAUGAUCUACCGUGGGGUUGGGGAUAGCCUGUGGAAACACAGGGUAAUACCGAAUACGCUGCAGAGACUAUGGUUUUUGCAGGAAAGGCGCUCCGGCGCCGCCUUACGAUGAGUCCGCGGCCCAUUAGCUAGUUGGCGGGGUAAGAGCCCACCAAGGCGACGAUGGGUAGCCGGCCUGAGAGGGUGGACGGCCACACUGGGACUGAGAUACGGCCCAGACUCCUACGGGAGGCAGCAGCUAAGAAUCUUCCGCAAUGGACGAAAGUCUGACGGAGCGACGCCGCGUGGACGAGGAAGGCCGAAAGGUUGUAAAGUCCUUUUCUGCGUGAGGAAUAAAGUGAGGAGGGAAUGCCUCACCGAUGACGGUAACGCAGGAAUAAGCCCCGGCCAAUUACGUGCCAGCAGCCGCGGUAACACGUAUGGGGCGAGCGUUGUUCGGAAUUAUUGGGCGUAAAGGGCGCGUAGGCGGUUGUGCAAGCUUGGUGUGAAAAACCUCGGCUUAACUGAGGGGGCGCGCUGAGAACUGCACGACUUGAGUUUAGGAGGGGGAGCUGGAAUUCCUGGUGUAGGGGUGAAAUCUGUAGAGAUCAGGAAGAACACCGGUGGCGAAGGCGAGCUCCUGGCCAUAAACUGACGCUGAGGCGCGAAAGCGUGGGGAGCGAACAGGAUUAGAUACCCUGGUAGUCCACGCUGUAAACGAUGUGCACUAGGUGUUGGCUCGAUCGAGUCAGUGCCGUA
rnacentral:rRNA from 1 species